GACGAACGCUGGCGGCGUGCUUAACACAUGCAAGUCGAACGGAAAGGCCCUGCUUUUGUGGGGUGCUCGAGUGGCGAACGGGUGAGUAACACGUGAGUAACCUGCCCUUGACUUUGGGAUAACUUCAGGAAACUGGGGCUAAUACCGGAUAGGAGCUCCUGCUGCAUGGUGGGGGUUGGAAAGUUUCGGCGGUUGGGGAUGGACUCGCGGCUUAUCAGCUUGUUGGUGGGGUAGUGGCUUACCAAGGCUUUGACGGGUAGCCGGCCUGAGAGGGUGACCGGCCACAUUGGGACUGAGAUACGGCCCAGACGCCUACGGGAGGCAGAAGUGGGGAAUAUUGCACAAUGGGCGGAAGCCUGAUGCAGCAACGCCGCGUGCGGGAUGACGGCCUUCGGGUUGUAAACCGCUUUCGCCGGUGACGAAGCGUGAGUGACGGUAAUGGGUAAAGAAGCACCGGCUAACUACGUG
rnacentral:rRNA from 1 species